CCUACGGGAGGCAGCAGUAAGGAAUAUUGGUCAAUGGACGCAAGUCUGAACCAGCCAUGCCGCGUGAAGGAUGAAGGUCCUCUGGAUUGUAAACUUCUUCUAUCUGGGACGAAACCCAUCUUUUCUAAGGUGAUUGACGGUACCAGAGGAAUAAGCACCGGCUAACUCCGUGCCAGCAGCCGCGGUAAUACGGAGGGUGCAAGCGUUAUCCGGAUUCACUGGGUUUAAAGGGUGCGUAGGUGGGUUGCCAAGUCCGUGGUGAAAUCUCCGAGCUUAACUCGGAAACUGCCAUGGAUACUGGUAGUCUUGAAUUAUCUGGAGGUCAGCGGAAUAUGUCAUGUAGCGGUGAAAUGCUUAGAUAUGACAUAGAACACCAAUUGCGAAGGCAGCUGACUACGGGUAUAUUGACACUGAGGCACGAAAGCGUGGGGAUCAAACAGGAUUAGAUACCCUGGUAGUCCACGCCCUAAACUAUGGAUACUCGACAUUCGCGAUACACAGUGAGUGUCUGAGNGAAGANAUAGUAUCCACCNGGAGACGACGCGAGUAGAACGACAANAGAGUAGAGGCGUGAGACGNGCGACGGACGACGACGAGGGGAGGAGG
rnacentral:rRNA from 1 species